GCAUAUCUGGUUGAUUACGAUUCUCAAAUAUAUUUUAUGCUUUUAAAAAAAACUGACACACAUCACCAUUGAAUAGUUUGUGACACUCUGAGCGGGCUUUAUCCUCAAAUCAAAAGUUUUUAUUUUAUUUUUUAAAUAAGUCGUAGCCAAUCAGACGUCUAUAACAAUUUCGGCCAAUCACAAUUGGGCCACAGUCUGUUACACUGGCGCGAAAUGUAUGAGAAGAUGGCGAACGUCAAGGCAGCAGGAGCUAACGUUAGCGCUCCACCAAGAAAAAAAAAACACUUUAGAAAGUUCUGAUGACGAAACAGACAUUGAGAUGAAGCGACAAUAUGAAAAAGCAAAAAGACAAAAAAAAGUUGCAAAAGAGAGGAUCCUCACUCAGUUGAAGGAUACACUGAGGAAACCACUCCACUCCACUCCAUGCAGAACCAAUCCAUUACAUAGUGAGGAGGAAGUUGAAUCCGAAAUGGUGGACACAAAUGUGGAUUUGUUCAAUUACCCAGGGAAUUCUCAAUCAACCAGACAAAAAAAGGUUGGAAAGGAGAGGGUCCUCACUCAGCUGAAGGAUACACUGAGAAAACCACUCCACUCUGAUCCACGCAGAACCAACCCGUUACAUAGUGAGGAGGAAGUUCAAGCCGAAACCGUGGACACAAAUGUGGAUUUGUUCGAUUACCCAGAGAAUUUUCAACCAACCGAUACCUUAGAUGCUGCUGAGGCAAGUGGAGAGAGCGUGGAACAGCCAUUAUUUGUCAGUGGUGAAGUGUUGAAAGCUUUGAAAGAAAUUCCCACCUUAGUGCAGUGUGUCAAGGAACUAAUAUCCUCAAUGAACAGAGGGAUCGAUACAGCAAGCACAAGCUCAGGGUCCUCCAGCUCAGCCCAAGAGAUGACACUGUCAUAUCUGAGUUUCCGGGCACGUCACAGUCCGAGGUUAGAGCCGUAAUACGGCGAAAGUGCAAUAACGAAAGUUUUGUUUCAAAAAAAAAAAAAACACUGUAAAGGUAAUUUUUUGUUGUUGUUGGGAAAGGAAUGUGAAAGUAAAGAAGAAAUUUGUGUUUUGUUCAUAUAAGAUACGUACAGUAAUCUGUAGUUUAAUCAUUUUAUUAAAGGGUUAGUUCACCCAAAAAUCGAAAAGUUCUUUGUAUUUAGUCACCCAGCGUGUUGUUCUAAACCCUUAAGACUUCCAUUAACCAUCGCAUCACAAAAUAUUAUAUUUAUGAUGUAAUCUGAGCGCUGGAUAAGUCUUCCAUUGACUUCCAAGGGGCUUAAACUUGCUCGAUCAGAAAUCGUAUUAAGACAUUGUUUGAAAUUGUCUAAGUGACUCCAGUGGCUCAACCAUCCAUUUAUCAAGCGAC
ensembl:lncRNA